GCUCACACCAACUAUUGUGCAGAUCUAGUUUACCGCCAGCCAAUUCACGAGUUGAUGCGGUCUUCUCGUCUGCUAUUCCAACCGGCAUUUCUUACUUACCACAAUAGUUAUUUAUGUGCGCUUCUCUUACCUGCCUUCUGCUCUCUUAGCCAUUCCCUCAUACACUUGGAAAGCAUUACAAACGAGGUAGAGAAAAUGAGUUUCAGAGAUGAUAACGAAGAUGCCAGGGGGGAUAUACGAAAACCGUUUCUACACACAGGAAGUUGGUACCGAAUGGGUUCUAGGCAAUCCAGCAUGAUGGGCUCCUCUCAGGUCAUUCGCGAUAGUUCCAUCUCUGUUGUGGCCUGUGUCAUGAUAGUCGCUUUGGGUCCUAUUCAAUUCGGUUUCACCAGCGGUUAUUCGUCUCCAACCCAAACUGCGAUCACUGAAGAUCUUGGACUUUCCGUCUCGGAGUUCUCUUUAUUUGGUUCGCUGUCCAAUGUGGGUGCUAUGGUUGGGGCUAUAGCCAGCGGUCAGAUUGCAGAGUACAUAGGAAGAAAAGGGUCUUUAAUGAUAGCUGCUAUUCCUAAUAUAAUUGGGUGGCUUGCUAUUUCUUUUGCCAGAGAUGCUUCUUUUCUCUACAUGGGAAGGCUAUUGGAAGGUUUUGGUGUAGGAAUUAUCUCAUACACGGUGCCCAUAUAUAUAGCAGAGAUAGCACCCCAAAACUUGAGAGGGGCUUUGGGUUCAGUAAAUCAGCUCUCUGUCACACUCGGAAUCAUGUUGGCUUAUCUGCUUGGACUUUUUGUUCAAUGGAGAAUACUUGCAGUUUUGGGUAAUACUUGGGAGAUUCUCUCUAAUGGGCUACAUCACUAGUUAAAACUCUCAUGUCUCACUUAUUUUUUUCUUGCCAAAUACUUUUUCUCUCGUGGAUGAUCACUGUUUUUUUCCUUGAACAAAAAUGGUCUGAGAUGAGCAGGUGUUCAACUUUAUGCAGCAAGUGAUAGAAAUUAGAGGUGCUUUAAGAAAUAGGAGUUUGAUUUUCUAAGUUUUAAACCUUUGGUCUUUGUGUAACUGUAUUUCCAUCAAUGGAUUUCCUGAAAUUUUUUCCAGUUCAAAAUUGAUAAGAUAUGAUGUGAGGUCAUUUUUUAUUCAGUGUAAGGCAGAUAGUUAACUUGGUGUGUAUUUUCUUUGAGCUCUUGAGCAAGAACUUAGACCAGAAAGAAGGUUACUUACAGCAUGUUAAACUUGUUACCCAUAUAUUUGUUCUGCCCAUGUUUUAGUGCAACGAUAUGCUUUUCUUCCUCAACGCCCAAUUGAAAUGCAUCGUCACACACAUAAAGUCACGUUUGUAGCAUGUAUUGUUAACCAAUGGGAUUCAACUCUGUUUUUGCAGAGGAUCUUAAAGUCUUGAAUCCUUUUUAGGCUCACAUUAUGUUAAGGAAGAAAAGGAAAUUUUACCAACAUGUGAUUUUAAUAUAAUUCAAUAAAUGGUUGUAAAUGAUGAUAUUUUCGGAUGCUAGAACUUGGCCCAAAUUCUUUUGUAGGAAUAUUACCAUGUACAGUCUUGAUACCUGGCCUGUUUUUCAUUCCGGAAUCUCCUCGGUGGCUGGUAAGCUUUUAUGAGAUAUGCUCCUCUCUCGACCUGAGAUUUAUUGUUAUAAUUUGUUGAUGCAACUCUCUCUCUUUCUCUCCCACUCUCUCAAAACCAAAAUUUAGGCAAAAAUGGGUAUGACAGAAGAUUUUGAAGCUUCUUUGCAAGUUCUUAGGGGGUUUGAUAUGGAUAUUUCACUUGAAGUGAAUGAAAUUAAGAGGGCUGUAGCUUCAACAAGCAGAAGAACUACAAUCCGGUUUGCAGAACUCAAGCGAAGAAGAUAUUGGCUCCCGCUAAUGAUUGGGAUUGGAUUGCUUGUCCUGCAACAACUUAGUGGAAUUAAUGGUGUUCUAUUCUACUCCAGCACCAUUUUUGAAACUGCUGGCAUUAACAAUAGUAAUGCUGCUACAUUUGGGCUUGGUGCCAUUCAGGUCAUUGCUACCGGUGUAACUACAUGGUUAGUUGAUAAGGCAGGCCGCAGGCUUCUACUUAUUGUUUCCUCUACUGGGAUGGCUCUCAGCCUCCUAUUGGUUGCAGUAUCAUUCUUUGUGCGGGUGAGUGCUGAGUACAGUUACACACAAUGAGUCUUCCAACAAACAUUUUGUUAGCAAUCAUAAUACAGUGAAAGAUUAGCAGCCUAAUUUUCCUUUUUCCUCUACUUUAUCAAUUGACCCAGGAUUUUGUAUCAGAUGAAACUAGUUUAUAUAACAUUUUGGGGAUCUUAUCAGUAGUUGGAGUUGUGGGGAUGGUAGUUGCCUUUUCUUUGGGCAUGGGACCCAUUCCUUGGAUUAUAAUGUCUGAGGUAUCACUAUGUUAUUACUAUUCAAUUUAUGUGCAAUAGCAAUUUCACAAUUUUCUGUGAUAUUGACUGUGUGAGCAUUAUUAAAAAUUAAAGCAAACUAAUGAAAUUCAAUUAUUUUGAUUUAGGGAAUUUUGAUUCGUAGUUCGGUUUGUUUACCUAAAAAUUGUAAUAGAAAUAACCAAUUAUUUUAUUUCAUUAAUAAUAUGUAAGUUAUAUGAGUUUGUUCAGUUAAGUAGUGUGAGUUUUGGAAAUUAUGGUUAAUAAAAAUUUCAGGUUGGUUGAUCAAAUGCACAGUCCCUAAUUAUUUGCUUCUUGUUGUCAGACUGGUAGGACUAGUGGCUAAAAUAACAACACUUUGAAUUGAAUCUAUGGCAGUUUUUCUAUUAAAAUCUUGAUAAAAUUCCCCUAGUUUGUAGUAGCCGUGUUUCCAAUGUUUACUUGAUCUUCAGUGCUAUGGAUAGGUUGAAGAUACGGAUAGGUUGAAGAUUACGCUUCUUCUUGAAUGCCAAGUUCUUUGCUAAGCUUCAACAUUCUGUUGAAGUUCAGUCACUGAUCCGCUGUUGGAUUAUAUAUAUAUAUAUAUAAAGUCUGGUCACUCAAACUCCAGAAAUUCAAGGACAGCACUUGACUGCAAUUUAUGUAUUAUGGCUUAUUUGACCCUGCUUUGGCGAGACCACAGCUGGUAUUUUUAUUGUGAUGUAUAGAACCUUCCAUAGACAACUAAUUUACAACAAGGCUGGGCUGUGCAUAUUUUAUGCUUGCUUCAAAAUGUAAACCAUAAUUCUAUAUCUAUGUAAAAGUGUUCACAUAACCUUGUAUAUCAAAUUACGUGUAAUUAUUUCAUCACCUUGCAAAUUGAAACAUGAAAUCAGGAUAAAUUUCAAUAAUUGUCCCUGAACUUAUAUAGUUAUA
rnacentral:misc_RNA from 1 species